GACUGUUCCAUAUGGACUGGCUAAUUACAGAGGAGGUUUCAGAGGCAAAAGGUCAACAGACCAGCAUCGCAAGAGCUUACAUUUAUCAGAAUGGCCUCCCUCUCGCUGCUCAUGUGCAGACCGGUGUGAUAAACCAUGUAUGCGAUUUUGCACGAGGACCCAGAACAGCCAAUGCAGUAAUCAGGACAAACUGAACAGAACAGCAGAAGGAGAACCGCAUCGAGAAAAGGGACAUGUUCUCACUUAGUAGCUCAGGAGAAUCCAACUGCUGAGUGAAGAGGUACCGAGUUGAGAAGCUACUACCUAAGACAUGAAACUCACUCAAGGUGGACAAAUGUGCCCAGAUUUCUUGAAUGGAUUAUCCGGCAGAAGAUGCUACCUUUUUAUGAACGGACGGCAUGUUGAAGGUGGAGAAAAAUCUCCUGCCAAGAGAAUCUUGAACCUUGUUCUGCAAAAUUCUUCUCCAUCAAAUAGAAUGUGAUGAGCGCCAUCCAUUUUGGACAGAAGCAAUGUUGCCUUUUAAAAAUAAAAACACCUUGCUGCAAUACAGGAUAACUCCCACCCACAAGUACAAAGGAUAAAAAUUCUCACCUGGUCAACAGGAGGGGGAGCAACAUUGUUUCAUUUGCUUGCUUUUAACAUGUAAAUGUUCACUUUUCUUCUCAUUGUUGCCACUGGAGAAAACGGUGCAUUAGAGGAAAUGUCUGUGUUUGAUCUUGCCAAUGCUAUGUUAAAAAAGAAAAAUCCCUUUACCUAGCGUUACUCAAAUCUGUCUUCCUAUUGUAAUUUCAGUGGCAAAAAUUAAGAUGGCAAUAUCUAUGCAGACUAAAUAUGAAUGGCUGAUACUUAAUAUCAUUAUAAAAUAUAUCAAGCUAACAGUAUACUGUGAGUAUGUCAUAGAUUAUUGGGCCAGUAUCCAGUUGUUCAUCCCAAUUGAGAGUAGAGCCAUUAAAUCCAUUGGGGAGGGGGUCUACUCUAGUUGUGAUUGGCAAUUGGAAACUGGCUUUGGUUUUUGUAUGUCAACUAUCUCUGCACUGAAAUGGCAUUUUGAAAUAAAUCUGUAGAAUAGCUGGCAAGAGAGACACAAUAAAACAUUAGUUUAUUUAAUCAACCAUCACCUCUGGAACCUCCCUAAGAUGAAGCUAUGAAACCGUCAAAAUGAAUAUCGUAUGGAAAUUCAAAGCCAUAUAUUAGCCUUUAAUUCGAAUUGCAGAGAAGGGCUAGUUGAAAAGAUAUAAGAGAGGAAAGUUCAGUUUGCAAUUAAUGAAAACUCGUGUUUGAUGAAACGUCAGUGGAGAAAGGAUGGAUGUAUUUUAACAAAGUUGACAACCUCUUGAAUGAGCUGACAGUGUAUUUUCACUGAAGAAGAUGUUGGAAAGACAUUCAUCUAGUGUUUGCAAAUCAAGCAGGGAAAAAAAAGGAGGGAAAAGAAUUUCAUUUAUUGAUAAUUGGAAACCUUUCAAAAGGUUGGUAAAAACUUGGGAUUUUUCCAUUAAAAGUUUUAUAUUUUACUAGAACACAGUCUGAAGGCAACGGUGAAGACUGUAAGCUGAAUACACAAGCCCUGCAAUCAGACAGCUCCCAAACCAGCUAUAACACUUUUGCAAAGGGAUAAUGGACAUUGUUUUUAGCAAGAAAGGAAGAG